rnacentral:lncRNA from 1 species
GCCAGAAGUGCCUGCAUUUAAUGGAAGACAUAGAUUUUACCUUUGCAAAUCUCUAUGAAGAAAAACAUGGGACAAAUGUCCAGUUGUCUUCUCGAUGGAGUGAGUGGCUCCAGUGUGAGCAGUCCGGGGUCUCGAGCGUGCACACGCCAGGCUGGCUUUGACCACAGGAAUGAGCUGUUGGAGUACCUGAGAGCAACAGAGCAAAAAGAAAUCAGAAUAAAAGACAUUUGUUCUAAGUAUAAAUGUGCAGGGCAUUUUGUGUGAGGAGACCAGACCCUUUUCCUUUACUCUCCUGCAUCUUGUAGCUUCUUUGAGGAGG